rnacentral:rRNA from 1 species
GACGAACGCUGGCGGCGUGCCUAAUACAUGCAAGUCGAACGCAGUGGGGACGGGUGAGUAACACGUGGGUAACCUCCCAUCAGAGGGGAUAACACUUGGAAACAGGUGCUAAACCGAUACUGAUGGAUGGACCCGCGGUGCAUUAGCUAGUUGGUGAGGUAACGGCUCACCAAGGCCACGAUGCAUAGCCGACCUGGGAGGGGGGUCGGCCACCCUGGACCGGAGACAGGGCCCAGACUCCUACGGGAGGCAGCAGUAGGGAAUCGUCGGCAAUGGACGAAAGUCUGGCCUAGCAAAGCCGCGUGAGUGAAGAAGUUUUUGGGAUCGUAAUACUCUGUUGUUAGAGAAUCGGUAUCUAACGAGAAAGCCACGGCUAACUACGUGCCAGCAGCCGCGGUAAUUC